rnacentral:rRNA from 1 species
AUUGAACGCUGGCGGCAGGCCUAACACAUGCAAGUCGAGCGGAUGAAGGGAGCUUGCUCCUGGAUUCAGCGGCGGACGGGUGAGUAAUGCCUAGGAAUCUGCCUGGUAGUGGGGGAUAACGUCCGGAAACGGGCGCUAAUACCGCAUACGUCCUGAGGGAGAAAGUGGGGGAUCUUCGGACCUCACGCUAUCAGAUGAGCCUAGGUCGGAUUAGCUAGUUGGUGGGGUAAAGGCCUACCAAGGCGACGAUCCGUAACUGGUCUGAGAGGAUGAUCAGUCACACUGGAACUGAGACACGGUCCAGACUCCUACGGGAGGCAGCAGUGGGGAAUAUUGGAAAAUGGGCGAAAGCCUGAUCCAGCCAUGCCGCGUGUGUGAAGAAGGUCUUCGGAUUGUAAAGCACUUUAAGUUGGGAGGAAGGGCAGUAAGUUAAUACCUUGCUGUUUUGACGUGACCAACAGAAUAAGCACCGGCUAACUGCGU